CUGAAACACAUUUGUAGAAUAUCAUUAUUCGUUCAUAUUCCUUCUCCCAUGUUUCAAAAAAAUACUCCUUCUCCCACUAUGGUCUGCUUCAUGUUAAAACCAAUACAAAUCUUGGGGCUAUCCGAGAAAAAAUGCAACAAAAGGCUUCCCGUUGCAUACAUAUUUGUUAUCGUAGCUGAUUCCCACCGUAUGGCCUUAUAUUUUACUCCCACCAACUAUUCAUGCUACUGUUGCAUCAGUAGAGAAAAUAUUAUAAAAGGUAAAAUUUGCUAAAAUUCCUAACCGAUAAUUCCUGAAAAAAUGCCAUGAUCAUACGCUAUAGUCCAACUAUAGAUUUCUUUGUUGAUAAAAUCAUCUACAACUCAAUCCUAAUGUUACUAACAGCUCUAGGACAUAAACAGACAGAACAAACUGUUGCAUCAGCGGAGCAGAAUUUCCCUAAAUUACAGUUGCUAAAAAAACAGACAAACUGGGUAAAAAAACAGACAGUGCUAAGCAUAAAAAAAAGUGCAAUUUCUUUGACCUUCAUUGUAAACUAUUUGCACCCCAUAUUUAAGAACUUUCUACUAAAAUAUAUCCAACAUUGUAUUACAAGAUCCAAAACAUUGUAAUUCCAAAGUUUGCACUCUAAAGUUUAAGAACUUUGUACUAGCAUCUUAUAAACUUUGUAGAUCUAGCUCCAAAAACUAUUUUGUAAAAAGAGCUCCAAAACUAUAUAAUUCCAAAAUUGUGCUCCCAAGUUAAAGAACUUUGUAAUAGCACAUUUCAAACUUUGUACUCCUAGAUCCAAAACUUUACAAUCACAAUACUAAACUUUGAAAUAUAUAUAUAUAUAUAUAUCCAAAACUUUAAGCUUGUAGCUCAAAACCUUUGAACAUGGAUGAGAGAAACUUUCAAAUCACACAUUCAAAACGUCCUACAUCUUUAGCUUUCAGCUUUUAAGUCACAUAUCAAAACCUUUCUAUCUACUAGAAUUAAAAACUUUCAAACCAUAUGUUCAAAACUUUGUACAUAUAGCUUUCAAGUCACUUACUAAAAUUCAUGUACAUGGAAUUCAAAAUCUAUCAAAUCAUACAUUUGAAAACUGUUUACAUCUUUAACUUUCAAGUCACGUAUCAAAACCUUUGUAGAUGGAAUAAAAAAACUUUUAGACCACAUUUUGUAACUUAUGAUAUCUCAAGCUUUAAAGCCACAUUCUAAAAACUCUGAAGCUCCCAAUCAAAAACUUUGAGUGCGGAUACUGAGAAACUUUCUAAUCAUGUAGAGAGAACCUUUGGACAAGAAUUCGAAGAUAUUAAACCCAGAAAAUUAAUAUUGAAGUUGUAAGAUAAAACUUUGAAUCCCUCAAUUCACAACUUUAAAGUGUUAUAGCUAAAAACUUUCAUGUCAUUCUGAAAAAAACUUUUGGCAACUUUGGGCAUAGACAUUAAAAGCUUUGGGCCUAGAGAUUUAAAACUUUCAUGUUCAUGUAGAAAAACUUCAGGAAUGCCAAUAUAUGUCGACAUAGAAAGGAAGAAUCCAGGGCAUUUUUUCUUAUCGGAAUCAUUUCCUUUAUGCAAAAUAUAGAAGUAUAAUUUGGACCACAGCAAAACCUAGUCUAGCAAUUUAACCUCGUCCUAUCCCAAAUGAUAGUACCAUUUUCACAUAAUAUUCACACCAUGAAUGUCUUUGCAAAAAAGAAGUGUAAGCAUCCUAGACUUUCAAGUCAUAGACCUGACGUUGUACACCAAGUAAGAAAACAAUCACCACAUUUGUUGAAAUAAAUGUUUGCGCAUCUCAGCCUGAAAGAAAAGGUUUUCUAAAAAAUAUGUUCCUUCUUAUCCAUUGAGAAAUAAGAACAUCGCUAGUUAAUCCAGUCCCGUCAACCAAAUUUGCAGCCUGCCCCAAAAAAUGCACUACAACAAUCAAAAUGGAAAACAAUAUACUAAUAUGGCAGGCUUUACGCAGGGGGACUUCACAGAUGACUUAUGGAAUGCACAAACCAGGGAGUUUAUUAAAUCAGUUGCAAUUAUGCCUAAAAAAGGGAAUUAGAAAAGAUAUGUCAGGUUAUAUUAUCCCAUUUGUUUAGUAUUGAAUUCUCGAGCUGUUAAAAAGUAUCCCUUAAAAAAUAGCCAACAUAUGUUUCUGAAAAACAUUGAAUUAGAAAAUUGAUGCUACCUGUAACUGUAAGAUAAUUGUUGUCAACUUUCCUUUGGGAAAUUUUCUGAGAUUAAUGACAAAUUGUUUGAGGGCUCAAUUUGACACUUCUUCUGUUAGCUAAACCAUGCUUGAAUGAGUUAAGCAAGCAGACAACAUCCUUCCUGUAUUUUAAUCACACUACCUACAUGUUUUGACACAUUUCGAAGCACUGAAUAAGGAUUAUAAUGCUUGAACAGUUUUCAACCAAAACAAAACAAGCAGAUUGCGUAUUUCAGAUUUCCCAGUACCCCCCAUGGCAAGCAGCAAAACACAAUACCAUACUAAACCCUUUUCACAGGUUGCUUGCAGCCAUCACAAGAUAAGAUAAAGCAAAGUUGAGAGCAUCAGAGAUUCAUAAAUAGGUAGAUCAGAAAAGGGGAGGGGCGAGCUGAAGCACAAGACCUAUUGGCUGUCAGUUGUUGCUCGUGCUCGAGGAUGUAGAAGAGACCCAUCACGCUCUUGUGCUGCCGCUCGUUGCUGUAGUUGGACAUCAAAGUCAGCCACGCCGUCGCCCACCUGCACGGCGCCUGGUUUCGGCCACAUCGGAAGCAUCCUCUCGUCUCGAUUUGCCUCCCCCGCAGGCACUAAAAAAAUUGCUGAGCCACGAUGCACGCAAAAAAGGAGGGGAAGUGGAACUGGAUUGAAGACAAUAUCCACAUCACCUUCGAUCUAAUGCCGCCGUCGGAGAUGAAACGAUUUGAGCGGCGAAACGGGGUUGGAUCCAGCUUCCGCCUCCCUGUAGAUGCAGACGAAACGGCGAGGCGGCGAGCUCGACAAACGGCGCUGCGGCGAUUUGGAAGGGACGGAAAAAAUCAGGAGAAAUGUUGAAUCGUGUUGGAUAUUUUGGAAUAAACAGGGGGCAGUGGGGGAAUUGAAACUGGUAUACGAAACGGAGAGGGGUGCGGAGUGCGGACAGCUAGACGACACGGAAGACGAAAAGGGAAAGAGGGUCAUAGACAAAACAGGUAGAUUGCUGGGAUGGUUGCACACGAACGCGCGAUUUUGUCUGCUUCGAGUAAUUAUAAACCUAAAGAUCCAAAGCACCGAGAGGGCAACAAUAAUUUAUCAAACAUCCCUAAAAACCUUUAAAGAUAAACAACAAUAAUACUAC
rnacentral:lncRNA from 1 species